UCCUACGGGGGGCAGCAGUAGGGAAUAUUGCACAAUGGGGGAAACCCUGAAGCAGCAACGCCGCGUGGAGGAUGAAGGUUUUCGGAUUGUAAACUCCUUUUGUUAGAGAAGAUAAUGACGGUAUCUAACGAAUAAGCACCGGCUAACUCCGUGCCAGCAGCCGCGGUAAUACGGAGGGUGCAAGCGUUACUCGGAAUCACUGGGCGUAAAGAGCGCGUAGGCGGGAUAGCAAGUCAGAUGUGAAAUCCUAUGGCUUAACCAUCGAACUGCAUUUGAAACUGUUCUUCUAGAGUAUGGGAGAGGUA
rnacentral:rRNA from 1 species